rnacentral:rRNA from 1 species
AGUGAACGCUGGCGGUAGGCCUAACACAUGCAAGUCGAACGGCAGCACAGGAGAGCUUGCUCUCUGGGUGGCGAGUGGCGGACGGGUGAGGAAUACAUCGGAAUCUACUCUGUCGUGGGGGAUAACGUAGGGAAACUUACGCUAAUACCGCAUACGACCUACGGGUGAAAGCAGGGGACCUUCGGGCCUUGCGCGAUUGAAUGAGCCGAUGUCGGAUUAGCUAGUUGGCGGGGUAAAGGCCCACCAAGGCGACGAUCCGUAGCUGGUCUGAGAGGAUGAUCAGCCACACUGGAACUGAGACACGGUCCAGACUCCUACGGGAGGCAGCAGUAGGGAAUAUUGCGCAAUGGGCGAAAGCCUGACGCAGCCACGCCGCGUGAGUGAAGAAGGCCUUCGGGUUGUAAAGCUCUGUCAUUCGGGAAAAACGGCUAUCCGGGGAAAGUUCGGGUAGCGUGAUGGUACCGAAGAAGGAAGCACCGGCAAACUCUGUGCCAGCCGCCGCCGUAA